rnacentral:rRNA from 1 species
UGAAGAUGAUCUCGCGGCCUAUCAGCUUGUUGGUGAGGUAAUGGCUCACCAAGGCGACGACGGGUAGCCGGCCUGAGAGGGCGACCGGCCACACUGGGACUGAGACACGGCCCAGACUCCUACGGGAGGCAGCAGUGGGGAAUAUUGGGCAAUGGAGGAAACUCUGACCCAGCGACGCCGCGUGCGGGAUGAAGGCCUUCGGGUUGUAAACCGCUUUCAGCAGGGAAGAAGCGAAAGUGACGGUACCUGCAGAAGAAGCACCGGCUAACUAUGUGCCAGCAGCCGCGGUAAUACAUAGGGUGCAAGCGUUGUCCGGAAUUAUUGGGCGUAAAGAGCUCGUAGGUGGUUCGUCACGUCGGAUGUGAAACUCUGGGGCUUAACCCCAGACCUGCAUUCGAUACGGGCGAGCUUGAGUUAUGGUAGGGGAGUCUGGAAUUCCUGGUGUAGC